rnacentral:rRNA from 1 species
CCUACGGGAGGCAGCAGUGAGGAAUAUUGGUCAAUGGACGCAAGUCUGAACCAGCCACGCCGCGUGCAGGAAGACGGCUCUAUGAGUUGUAAACUGCUUUUGUACGAGGGUAAACGCAGAUACGCGUAUCUGUCUGAAAGUAUCGUACGUAUAAGGAUCGGCUAACUCCGUGCCAGCAGCCGCGGUAAUACGGUGGAUUCAAGCGUUAUCCGGAUUUAAUGGGUUUAAAGGGUGCGUAGGCGGUCGGAUAAGUUAGUGGUGAAAUCCCGAGGCUCAACUUCGGAAUUGCCUCGGAUACUGUUCGGCUAGAGAGUAGUUGCGGUAGGCGGAAUGUAUGGUGUAGCGGUGAAAUGCUUAGAGAUCAUACAGAACACCGAUUGCGAAGGCAGCUUACCAAGCUACUUCUGACGUUGAGGCACGAAAGCGUGGGGAGCAAACAGGAUUAGAUACCCCGGUAGUC